rnacentral:rRNA from 1 species
UACGGAGGGUGCAAGCGUUAUCCGGAUUCACUGGGCUUAAAGGGUGCGUAGGUGGGCUGGUAAGUCAGUGGUGAAAUCUCCAGGCUUAACUUGGAAACUGCCAUUGAUACUAUCAGUCUUGAAUACCGUGGAGGUCAGCGGAGUAUGUCAUGUAGCGGUGAAAUGCUUAGAUAUGACAUAGAACACCAAUUGCGAAGGCAGCUGGCUACACAAAUAUUGACACUGAGGCACGAAAGCGUGGGGAUCAAACAGG